AUGAGAAAAGAUGACAACUUCAAAGGCCUAGAAAAUCUUGUUGAUCUCUCAGUUAAGCUUGUUCAAACAAGAAGGCAUAUAGUUCAUAAUUUGGUGUACUUGCUUCUAAAAUUGGUAUUGCUUCUACCGGUGGCAACAGCAAGUGUUGAAAGAGCAUUUUCUGCAAUGAGUGUGGUCAAAAACAAGUUAAGAAACAAGAUGGGUGAUAGUCUUUUGGAUGAUUGCCUAGUCACAUACAUCGAACGAGAUGCUUUCUCCAAAGUGACCGAAGAUAAUAUAAUUGAGACUUUCAUGGUCUUGAGAAGGCGGUAUACCGACAAAUAA
rnacentral:rRNA from 1 species